CCUUAAGGGUAUUUUCAGUAAAGUUCGUGUUGGCAUUAUCUAGUCUUUAUAAGGUUCUCAUUUUUAUGGACAAGGUGAAGAUACAUUGACAGAAUCAAAAUGAAGCUAAAUUGACUAUCUACACCCAAUAACUAAUGAGUGAGAUCAAUGCAGUCUGAUAAAGCCUAGUAUAGGUCUCUAGUCUAUCUAUGCCAGUGCUAGAGCUUGAACUCAGGGCUGGGUGCUGUUCCUGAGCUUUUGUGAUAAAGGUUAUUCUACCACUUGAGCUGCAGCUUUGCUUCCAAUCCUAUUCGGACUGGCUUCGAAUUGAGAUCCUCAGAUCUUUCAGACUCUUGAGUCUCUAGGAUGAUAGGCCUGAGCCACUGGUACCUGGCUCUCAUCAGGAUUUUUGUUGGCCCUUAUCCUCUUAUGUUUGUAUAUUUCAAAGUUAGUUAUAGAUACUCCUUAAGUUAGGGAAGGGAAAAUCUGGUUUGCUAUUGUACAAGAGAAAAAUCAGUGAAAUCUUAGACUAUUUUCAUAGUGUCAGAGGUGUAAGACACUGUAUCAUAUGCCAAAAGAUUACUUUCUUUACUGUUCGGGUCCCACUAUUGAGCCUCUUGACUAAAGUUCAUCUAAACUCUUCUAUGUCUUACUUUUCCUUCCACCUACUAAACUGUCUCCAUUGGGAUCAGUGCUUGUGUUCCUUGUUUCCUUGCUCCUCAAGUAGUUAACACUUAAGCAUUGGUGGAGGAACGUCACAAGUGUAUUCAUUGGUGUCUCUGCAGAUAAUAUGGUGUAUAUUUAUUUUUUAUUAGCUUUAGUUGUACAAAGGGGUUUUAAUUCAGUAUAUCAAUUUUUGAGGACAAUGUGUGUGUGUGUGUGUGUGUGUGUGUGUG